UGGCGUAGUGGUCACUGCUCUCGCCUUGCAAGCGGGAGAACCGGGUUCGAUUCCCGG
rnacentral:tRNA from 1 species